rnacentral:rRNA from 1 species
GUGCCAGCCGCCGCGGUAAUACGUAGAGUGCAAGCGUUGUCCGGAAUUAUUGGGCGUAAAGGGUACGCAGGCGGAUAAUCGAGACAAGCGUGAAAGGUGUCGGCUUAACCGACAGACUGCGUUUGAAACUGGUUAUCUUGAGUGUAACAGAGGAGAGUGGAAUUCCUAGUGUAGUGGUGAAAUACGUAGAGAUUAGGAAGAACACCAGUGGCGAAGGCGACUCUCAGGGUUAACACUGACGCUGAGGUACGAGAACUGGGGGAGCGAACGGGAUUAGAAACCCCUGUAGUCC